GAUGAACGCUGGCGGCGUGCCUAAUACAUGCAAGUAGAACGCUGAAGGAGGAGCUUGCUCUUCUGGAUGAGUUGCGAACGGGUGAGUAACGCGUAGGUAACCUGCCUUGUAGUGUGGGAUAACUAUUGGAAACGAUAGCUAAUACCGCAUGACAACAGUUAUUGCAUGAUAACUGUUUAAAAGUGGCAACUGCUCCACUACCAGAUGGACCUGCGUUGUAUUAGCUAGUUGGGGAGGUAACGGCUCACCAAGGCGACGAUACAUAGCCGACCUGAGAGGGUGGUCGGCCCACCUGGGACUGGGACACGGCCCAGACUGCUACGGGGGGGAGCCAGAGGGAAACUUCGGACAUGGGCGGAAAUCUGGCCGAACAACGCCGCGUGAGUGGAGAAGGUUGUCGGGUCGUAAAGGUCUGUUGUAAGGGAAGAAAGAGUGUGAGAGUGGAAAGUUCACACUGUGACGGUAUCUUACCAGAAAGCAACGGCUAACUACGUG
rnacentral:rRNA from 1 species